rnacentral:rRNA from 1 species
GUAAACCACUUUCAGCUAGGACGAAGCGCAAGUGACGGUACUAGCAGAAGAAGCACCGGCCAACUACGUGCCAGCAGCCGCGGUGAUACGUAGGGUGCGAGCGUUGUCCGGAAUUAUUGGGCGUAAAGGGCUCGUAGGCGGUUCGUCACGUCGGAAGUGAAAACUCGGGGCUUAACCCCGAGCCUGCUUCCGAUACGGGCGAACUAGAGGUAUGCAGGGGAGAAUGGAAUUCCUGGUGGAGCGGUGGAAUGCGCAGAUAUCAGGAGGAACACCAGUGGCGAAGGCGGCUCUCUGGGCCUGUACUGACGCUGAGGAGCGAAAGCGUGGGGAGCGAACAGGAUUAGAUACCCUGGUAGUCCACGCCGUAAACGUUGGGCGCUAGGUGUGGGGGCCAUUCCACGGUCUCCGUGCCGCAGCUAACGCAUUAAGCGCCCCGCCUGGGGAGUACGGCCGCAAGGCUAAAACUCAAAGGAAUUGACGGGGGCCCGCACAAGCGGCGGAGCAUGUUGCUUAAUUCGAUGCAACGCGAAGAACCUUACCUAGGCUUGACAUGCACGGAAAUCUCGCAGAGAUGCGGGGUCCGUAAGGGCCGUGCACAGGUGGUGCAUGGUUGUCGUCAG